AUCGAACGCUGGCGGCAUGCCUCACACAUGCAAGUCGAACGGCAGCGCGGACUUCGGUCUGGCGGCGAGUGGCGAACGGGUGAGUAAUGUAUCGGAACGUACCAUUGAGUGGGGGAUAACGUAGCGAAAGUUACGCUAAUACCGCAUAUUCUCUCCGGAGGAAAGCAGGGGACCGCAAGGCCUUGCGCUCUUUGAGCGGCCGAUAUCAGAUUAGCUAGUUGGUGGGGUAAAAGCUCACCAAGGCGACGAUCUGUAGCGGGUCUGAGAGGAUGAUCCGCCAAACGGGAACUGAGACACGGUCCAGACUCCUACGGGAGGCAGCAGUGGGGAAUUUUGGACAAUGGGGGCAACCCUGAUCCAGCCAUGCCGCGUGAGUGAAGAAGGCCUUCGGGUUGUAAAGCUCUUUCGGCCGGGAAAAAAUCGCAUGGAUUAAUACUCUGUGUGGAUGAUGGUACCGGAAUAAGAAGCACCGGCUAACUACGUGCCAGCCGCCGCGGUAAUAC
rnacentral:rRNA from 1 species